UUCUUUUGAAACUAUACCAGGCGGAAGACAAUUAAGUGGCUUUUUUACCAUAUGGAAAGGAAAAAAAAAAAAAAGUCUACCCAGUGAAAAUACCCUGCAAAUAAGUAGGCAAGAUACUUGUUCAGACAUCAAAAACAGAUAAUUCAUUGUCAGCAGACUUGCAUUGAAAGGAAUGCUAAAGGGAGUUCUCCUGACAGAAGGAAUAUGAUACUAGAUAGACAUUUGAGUCAACAUACACACACAUGUGCACACACACACACACACACACACACACACACACACCAAAAAAGGCUGAACGUGGUAACAAUGUGGGUAAGUUUAAUAGACUUUAAUUUUCUUUAAAAUCUCUCUAAAAGAUGUUGUUAGUUGCUGUCCAGUUGAUUCUGACUCAUGGCAGCCCCACCUGUGCAGACUAGAACUACUUCAUAGGGCUUUCAAGGCUUUGACCUUUCAGAAGCAGAUUGCCAGGCCUUACUUCUGCGGGCCUCAGUGUGGGUUUGAGCCACCAACCUUUUGGUGAAUAGCCGAAUGCUUAACCAUUUUGCACCACCCACAGACUACACUAAUUGAUUUUAUUUAUCCUGCUUGGAUUUCUAAACUGUGGUUUGUCUUUCAUCGCUUUUGGAAAUCCUCAGCCUUUAUCACUUCAGAUAUUUCUUCCACCCCAUUCUCUUUUCUUCUCCUGAGAUUGCAAGUAUGUGCAUGUUAUAUCAUUUGGGGGUGUUUCAAAACUCUCAGAUCCUUUUUUCUUUUCUCCUUUUAUUUCCUCUCUCUGUUUUAGUUUGAGUAAUAUUUUCUGAACUAUCUUUAAAGUUUACUGAUUCUUUCCACUGCUGAGAAGCCUGCUGAAAUAAUCAUGUCUGUCUGAUAUUGUGUCUUUAUUUCUAGCAUUUCCAUUUGUAUCUUUUGUAUACUUUCCACCUUUAUUCUGAAAUUUCCUCAUCUUCUCAUAAGUAUUGUCACCUGCUUCACUACUAAAGCCCAUUAACAUAUUAAUCAUAGUUAUUUUAAGCUUCCUGUGUGAAAGUCAAACUCUGGGCCAUCUGGAGAUUCUGUUCAGUCUUUUACUUCCUGAUUAUAGGUCAUAUUCCUUGCUUUUGCUUUGUGUAUCUCAUAAUGUUUAAAUAUAUUCCAGACAUUGUAAGUAAAAGGACCAUUAAGACCAGAUAUGAUGCAUAGAAAUGGAGCAACCAUCUUGUGGCCAUGAGGAUGAAAGCAAACAUCCUAAGGAUGAUUGGGCAGGACCUAGGAGCCUGAGUCCCUGAUGAUGUCCUUGAGCAUCCACCAGCCAUGGAUUCCCUACUUUCAGAUGAGAAAAUUUGGUCUCCAAAAUAAAACAAACAGCAAAAGAACAACAGCAGUUUUGCCAAGAAUAACAUACCAGAAGUUCCCGACGCUUGACUUCCACCUUCUGGAUAAAGACAAAGCUAGUUUAUUUUUAUCCUUAUUUCAAACAUUGACCUUAUUUUUAUGUUUAUUUUUGACCUGUCAGUUUCAGGUCAAAAGUUACUGAGAGCUUACCGUGGACUAGGCCUGAGGUAAAAACAGGGAAUAAGACGCAGCGCCUACUAUCAAAUAGUUCUAAUACGUAAGAAAAGAUGAAGAAAAAAAGACAUUGCCUGCAGUGUCUACUGUGAAGUUCGACACAGGGUCCCAAGGAAACACAGAGGAAGUGCACUGAUGGUAUGAAAGAAAGAAGUCUUCUCAGGGAAAGCUACAUUUGAGAGUGCACCAAACUGACUGGAAGCAAUGGUGAUGACGAUGAUGAUGACGACGACGACGACAAUGACCUAGGUUUGGUUUCCUGCCAGCCCACUUCAUGUGCAGCCACCACCCAUCUGUCUGGGGAGGCUUGUGUGUUGCUAUGAUCCUGAACAGUUUUAAAUGGAGCUUUCAACUAAGACAGACUAAGAAGAAAGGCCUGGCAAUCUAUGGGAAAAAUCAGCCAAUGAAAACCCUAGGAAUCACAAUGGUCCGAUCCAUAACUGAUCAUGGGGAUGACACAGGACCAGGCAGUGUUUUGUUCCAUCGUGCAACAAUCACAACUUACUGGAGGCUUACUUUGUGCCGGGUGCUUUUACACACAUUGCCUUAUUUUAACCAUCACAACAACCCUAUCAGUUGAAAAAUGAUUUCCAUUUUAUAAAUGAGGAAACUGAUGCUCAGAAUGUUUAAUUCUCCAACAUCUAAACAGGUUUUAACUGGUGGGGCAGAUACUCAAACCAGGUCUCUCUGACCACAGAGUACUUUUCACCAUCAGUCGAGUAAUAAUAAAAAUGAUUGAUAAGUAACAAUCAGAAUAAAGAGAUUUUGUUCGUGGAGACAGUAUUCCAUCUAGGACAUGGUAGAAAACAGAGAAUGAGUGACAUUCUCCUAGUGAGAACACCGAUCAUGUGUCUUCAUAAAUCAAUGCAGCAGAAACAUUGAACAUGCUAUACUAUCAUUUUUUUCUUUUAUUAGCAAUUCUUGUCAGUCACAAAAAGCUUCUACCACUAUCUUUAUUCAUGAUAGGUAGCAUAUGUUAUAAUUUCCAUUCUGUGUGUCUCACCAUUUUCUUAAGAGAAAUUUUAGGUAUUAAGGAAGAAACAAAGUGUUAAAAAAAAAUAAUUACGUUUUGAUAACAUACUUAAACAAUCUUUAUUAAUUGGUAGUGUAUCUUUUUAAUUCCCAGUGGGUAAAGUUAGAAUUUAAAGAAAAAUUACAGUUUUGCAUCUUGGAAAAGAGGUUUGGCUAUCUGCUUCCAAAAGGUCACAACCUCGAAAACCCUGUGGAGCAGUUCUACUCUGCACACAUGGGAUUGCCCUGAGUCGAAAUUGACUCUAUGGCAAUUAACAUUAACAACAAAGUUUGAGUUUAGCCUGCAAAACCGAUAUAUGUGUGAUGGUUUUACAAACUUAAGCCUCUAAACAAUCUGUGACAAGUUCAACAAGCUUUACCCAGAAAUUCUUUCCCAGUACCUAGACUAACAAUAUUAUCAAAACUUUUUUUGGCCUAAAAACACUCUUUUUAGAGAAGCAGUCUUUAAGCUGGCUUUCUUUGAAGUUAGUAUCCUUAUGGCAACUUUGAAAUAAACCUAGACCCUUGCUCAAAAUCAAUGACAUCUGCAAAAUUUUCCCUAACAUUUCUUUGUCCUUUGAACCUGAGCUCCUUGAAGCACAAAUUGUUUCUUUCCCCCAUAGCCCAGUUACCUGGAAUGAGGUUAGGUAACAACGAAUGUGCUUCAAAUGUUCAUCGAGUGAAUGUUUGAAUGAAUUUACCAACUGCAGGUUUUGCUUCACUUUUAAUUGCUUAUUACUUGGAAGGUAUUCCAGAUGGGCCUCCUUAUCCAUUUAUUUUUAUUCUGUUGCAGAAAGUGUCUGUUGGGACCACUUUUCCAGAAUUCUCAGGUAUGUCCUGCUUGGCUGAGAGUCUUCUAGGGAGACUCUGGUGAGUUCUACUACCAGCCUGGAAUACAACCUCCCUUCUCCCUUUUUGUCCCCACUAAUUCACAUUACAUUUGGGGGCAGGAUUUUUUUUCAUACUCCCCUCUCUAAUAUCCACAGAUUUUGUUUUGUUAAUCUGGAAAAGGAUGGUAGGGAUAUAAAAUAACAGAUAGAAAGUAGCCCUGAGACUGAGAAAAGGUCACUAUGGUUAGUGAGAAGAGUCUAAUUCAUGGGAGAAAAAAAAUGUUAUCUAACUGACAAAAAGCAAUUCAGAAGAAAAAUCAUGAGCACAUUUGGGCAGCUAGCCGAAGGAAUACUAAAGCCUAAGUGAUGAGCAUAAGAAAUGUAUUAAUCCAGACCACUCAUGGGGUGGUGAGAUUAGUGUGACUCCUAGAGGAAAUUCUUUCCUGGCUUUUCCCAGCUUGGCUAUGUGACUUUUCUGCAGCUCAGCAUCCUCACUUUCAAAUGAGGGGAUUUAACUAAGUGAUCUAUAAGAUCCUUUCCAAUUCUAACAUUUUGUAGAGGGCUCAAAUUUUUUUUAGAAAAUUAAAUGAUUCUUAUGUUUUUCUCACAUAUUUCUGUGUAGUCUCACAUAAUUUGAUUGUCUUUAUACUUUCUUUUUUAUUUAACCUGUGUCUAUUGGGAGCCCACGUGUCGUAUUGGUUGAGUUUGGCUGCCAACCAAAAGGUUGGCAGUUCUGGUGUUGGAAUGCUGUGCCAGG